rnacentral:tRNA from 1 species
GGAGUUGUGGCAUAGUAGGUAAAGCAUACGCCUACGAAGCCGGUAUCCCAUGUAGGUCCUGGUUCAAGUCCUGGCUGUUCUA